rnacentral:rRNA from 1 species
GCGGACCUCUUCGGAGUCCCUAGCAUCAAAUCAUAUCCAUAACACCUGUGAACUGUAAGGCUGUCUUGAAAACGAAAGUGAUUAGAGCGCCUGCCCAUUUUAUACAAACAUUAAGGUAACAAACGUAGUCUUAUUAUAAUCUAAUAAAACUUUCAACAACGGAUCUCUUGGCUCUCGCAUCGAUGAAGAACGCAGCGAAAUGCGAUAAGUAAUGUGAAUUGCAGAAUUCAGUGAAUCAUCGAAUCUUUGAACGCACCUUGCGCUCUUUGGUAUUCCGAAGAGCAUGCCUGUUUGAGUGUCAUGAAAAUAUCAACCUUGACUUGGGUUUAGUGCUCUUGUCUUGGCUUGGAUUUGGCUGUUUGCCGCUCGAAAGAGUCGGCUCAGCUUAAAAGUAUUAGCUGGAUCUGUCUUUGAGACUUGGUUUGACUUGGCGUAAUAAGUUAUUUCGCUGAGGACAAUCUUCGGAUUGGCCGAGUUUCUGGGACGUUUGUCCGCUUUCUAAUACAAGUUCUAGCUUGCUAGACAUGACUUUUUUAUUAUCUGGCCUCAAAUCAGGUAGGACUACCCGCUGAACUUAAGCAUAUCAAUAAGGCNGGAGGAA